UACGUAGGGUGCAAGCGUUAAUCGGAAUUACUGGGCGUAAAGCGUGCGCAGGCGGUUAUGUAAGACAGAUGUGAAAUGCCCGGGCUUACCUGGGAACUGCAUUUUGUGACUGCAUGGCUAGAGUUUGGCAGAGGGGGGGGUAGAAUUCCACGUGUAGCAGUGAAAUGCGUAGAUAUGUGGAGGAACACCGAUGGCGAAGGCAGCCAUCUGGACCGACACUGACGCUGAGGCGCGAAAGCGUGGGGAGCAAACAGGG
rnacentral:rRNA from 1 species